GCUAAGUUACCCAGGCUAGCUGCGAACUCACGAUCCUCCUGCCCCAGCCUCCUGAGCAGCUGGGACUACAGGCCAGGACACCAGCUCCUCAGCUCCGUCGCCUGGACAGUCACACUCCAUCGCCAAGCAUCCGCGGUCUACACGGCCCAUGGUGAUCUCACAGGGAUGGCGUUCAUCACACUGGAAUCCAUGAGCCAGGUGCUCUUCAGCCUCCUGAGGACUAAAGGAAGAAGAGACAACAGGGACCUUUGGUGACAGAGAACCAGGGAGACUU